rnacentral:rRNA from 1 species
AUGGCGCUGCCGGGUGAGCUUGGUCGUCCUCCUCACCGCGAGCUCCCCCGGCCUCGUCUGAGUCGUCUCCAUGCCGGAAGGCGCGGCUGCUGCCUGCUCUGCUCUACUGCUUCCUCCCCCCUCCUGACCAUCAGCCUCGACGCGAGCUCGUCCGGCCUCGUCCCCAUGCCCAUGCGGCGCGGCUGCUUCCUCCUCCGUGCACACGGCGCCCUCUUCCUAUCCGUCAGCUUCGCCGCCAUCCCAUCCGGCCUCGUCUCCAUGGAGGAAGAGGCGGGCUGCUGCAUCCUCCGGCCGCGCGCCGCCGUUCGCCGUGGCUGCCAUCUAAGGGUGGGGGAGGUCGGCCUGCAGGUCUUGUCCCACUCGCUGGAUCUGACGAGAGAUGGUCUUGUGCAGAAGGGCUGGCAGAGCUGGUUCGUUGUUCGGUCAGACGGUGGCGUCGACGCUUCGGUCUGUGCGUUGGAGGGACGGGCGCUUCACACGUUCGUCCAGAAGAAAAGAAAAUCAGAUAAGCGCUCAAAUAGCGCUCGUGCGUUGCAAGCCCAGUCGCUUAGCUUACACCGGGUACGUGUGGGUGCAAAUCCAAUCGAGCGACCCCCCUGUCCAGGGAGGAAGCCAGAGCUAGGGACAACUUUCUACUCACUGACGGAGGCUUACGAUUUUUACAAUUUAUAUUCAUGGGAGCAUGGCUUCGGCAUUAGAUACGGGAAAAGCAGGCUCAAUCCUGACAGAAGGAAGACCAUGCAGGAGAUUGUCUUCGGAUGCUCGGGGAAGCCUCUCCUUGAGAAUGUGCGUUUCACGAAAAGAUCUCUUCGGAACUUGUGUGGGCAAAUUAGUCAUGGCGAGGGAGAAGGCGACGUCACAAAAACAAUUGAAGUUUUCGAUGAGCUCGGCGCGAAGGACCCUGAAUUUUUGUUCAGGGUGCAGCCGGACGGCAAUGACAGGAUAAGGAAUUUGAUUACGAACGUGUACAACAUGCCAUUUGGGCUGUUCGUUGGAGUUAACAUCCAUUUCCAGACUAUAUUGCUGGCCAGAGUGCUGAUCAGAGAAGAGCAGGGCAGGGGCGGCGCGCGGCGCCAGCGCAGGGCAGGGGCGGCGACACGGCGGCCGCGCAGGGCAGGAAUAGGAGGAGAGGAGAGGAUCGGGGCGGCGCUCAUAGCGAGGACGCAGGGUGAGACGACGACGUCUGUGCAGGGCGCGGCGACGGCGUCGAUCGGUGCAGGGUGCGGCGACGGCGACGACAGGCAGGGCCGGCGACGAGGAGUACAUUUCUGGAGCGUGUCUUUUGCACUUUCCCCAUUCUGGACGCUCUGUUUCGAUAAGCUCGAGGGCGAUCUCGAGCGGCAUAGCACAACAGGCGAUUCUCUCUGUCCAUGGCGAUUCUCGCCGCUCAAUUUUGAUUUCGGUUCCUUUCUUUUGUUCCUCUCUCCCGCUCUCUUCCGCUCUCUGCCCAUGUGCUUUUUGCUUGCGUCUUGGUUCCAGAUCCAGAUGCAUGACUUUGUUGACUACCUGCCGGAGUUGGAGAUACGUGAUUUGUGUCUUCCCGAGCACCUGUUUUGUAGUUGGAGAUGCAUGAUUUUAUGGUUGACUCCCUACUGGAGGUGGAGGUUUAAAUGGAAGAUGGUUCCUGUUGCAGAUUCAUGUUGUAGAACAGGUUUGUGUUCCAGGGAUUGGAUUCUCCUCCCCCAUCUUCGCUUGCUGGCAUUUCCUGAUACAAUUCUGCCUCCAGUGUCUGCAAAUUUAAUUUACUAUGUAAUUUACACUGAAACUCCUUCAGUUUUUGUUCUUGCAAGAGAUGAUCGUGUUGUUGAUCUCCCUGCUGCUUCUCCUCAGGUACAUUUCCCUCCCCGAAUUUUGUGUUUGCUCUUCCUUCUUCUCCUCCUCCCCGAUCUGCCAUGGCUGCCUCUCCCAUGGGCGGCUCCCAGAUUUGUUCUAGCCCUGUUUUGUGGAGGGGCUUGGUCUUUGCAUGCGUUGCAAACUUGCCGGCAUGUGCUAUGUGGUCCCCUGAUCGGGAGGGGGGUUCGUUUGUCCAGGACGAACCGCGUGAGAUGUUUACCCGACCCGUUUAGGUGUUCUUUUCUGUUCUUUGGUGAUUUUGCUGCUAAUACAGAUGUAUUGUGUUGA